rnacentral:rRNA from 1 species
UUGGAGGGCAAGUCUGGUGCCAGCAGCCGCGGUAAUUCCAGCUCCAAUAGCGUAUAUUAAAGUUGUUGCAGUUAAAAAGCUCGUAGUUGAAUUUCGGGACCAAUUAGUUGGUCGUGCCUCGGUACGUACUGGUAUUAUUGGUUUCUCCCUUCUGAAGAACCUCGAUGCCAUUAAUUUGGUGUCGUGGGGAAUCAGGACUGUUACUUUGAAAAGAUUAGAGUGCUUAAAGCAAGCAUACGCUUGAAUACAUUAGCAUGGAAUAAUGAAAUAGGACGUUUGAUUCUAUUUUGUUGGUUUCUAGGAUCGACGUAAUGAUUAAUAGGGAUAGUUGGGGGCAUUAGUAUUCAAUUGUCAGAGGUGAAAUUCUUGGAUUUAUUGAAGACUAACUACUGCGAAAGCAUUUGCCAAGGAUGUUUUCAUUAAUCAAGAACGAAAGUUAGGGGAUCGAAGACGAUCAGAUACCGUCGUAGUCUUAACCAUAAACUAUGCCGACUAGGGAUCGGAUGAUGUUUAUUUUUUAAUGACUCAUUCGGCGCCUUACGGGAAACCAAAGUGUUUGGGUUC